AUGGCAAUUGAACUGAAGACCAGCUUCAUCAUUGCUAUGAAUGAACUGGCCCUCCAGUAUGGGGCGAACCGGGAUAAGCUGAAAGCAGAAGAAAUGUUCCAGAAUUCAUUUCAGUUAUCAGAAGCCACACUUCUCCAAGCUGAACUGUGCAAGCUUGAAUGUCACUUCACCUGGGAGCUGAAGAAAGAAGACCUAGAUCUCACAGAUCUUUUAAAUCGGCUUGAACAGCAUGUCGACAUGAAGCUUGGGGGGGGAAGCUGGACUUGCGCAGACAUACAAUUGUUUGGGAUUUGUGAAGUAUCUUCUAGGAUCUCCUCAUGACGCUCUCACCUUCCUGCAGAAGAGUGUAGAGCUCACUAGAGAGUGCCGGGAGAAUGGCUGUGAGAAAUGGCUUAUAGUGCCCUAUGGGAAUCUGGCCUGGCUUCAGUACCACAUGAAGUGCUUUAAUGAAUGUGAGAGUUACCUGGAGAAGCUUAGAAGUAUUGCACAGAAUUUCCCCGAGUCUGCUUUGGGUCAUCAUCAUGAAGUGCUUGGAGAAAAGGCCUGGGCCUUCUUCAAGUUCUCUCGUAAGUACUACAACCAGGCUAAAGAGUGCUUUGAGAAGGCUUUGGAGCUAGAGCCCAUGAAUGCUGAGUGGAAUUGUGGUUAUGCCUUUGUUCUCCACAGACUAGAAACAAAGUCCUCCGGUGUAACUGUUGAAGAGUCAGUUAAACAACUGCGGCGGGCCUUAGACACAAAUUCGGAAAAUGAUGAGCUUAAAGCUAUCCUAGCAGUCAAGCUUGCUCAGACCACAGAGUACGAUGAAGGGGAGAGAUUAAUGGAAGAAGCUCUGGAGGGUUCUCCAAAUGCUCCUAAUGUCAUUCGAUAUGUGGGUAAAUUUUUGAGGACCUAUGGCGAUGUAGAGAGGUCCAUCGCCCUUCUAAAAAGAGCUUUAGAGAAGUCACCCGCAUCUGCUUUCAUACACCAUCAGCUGGCUCUCUGCUACAAGAGAAAAACAACUUCUUUGCAACGUGAAGGAAGUCAAAACUCUCAUAGUUCUGGUGCUGAGAUUCAGAGGCUUCGCAGUCAGUGCAUUUAUCAUUUAGACAAGGCGACAGAACUGAAACCUGGCUUUGUUAUAGCUAUGACUGAGCUGGCAAUUCAGUACAGUGAGGAUGGGAAACUUGAUCGUGCGGAAGAGAUGUUUCAGCAAACUCUUCAGAUAGCUGAAGAGAAAAAUGAAGGCCAACAACAAGUGUAUCUGAGUUAUGCACAGUUUCUGCAGUACAGAAGGAGAGACCUACCCGAAGCCAUCACUUAUUACAUGGAAUGUCUGAAGAUAGACGAAGACACAAUAAAUGGGCAGAAAAGUGCUAAACAUCUGAACAAGAUUAAUGAUAGACGUUCAUCUAAAAGCCCUGGGAGUGGAAGAGCUCAGAGGACCUUUGUAAGGAAAGGGGAGAGAAAUGCAGGGCCGUAGAGAGAUGAGAAAAUUCUGCAAAAUAUUCACAAACAUUUUUGAAUAUCUUAAUAUUCUGUGUAUGCUGAGGCUGUCUUUAUAACAGUGUAAUUUCAGAGUUCAACAAAAAAAAAAAAGAAAGGCAACACUAAUUUUUCUUUUUAACAGACACAGUCAGAUGGGCAGUAUUGAACAUGUACACUUUAUUACUUUAACAGAAAUAAAUGUUCAUUCAAGAUAACAGCAUUGGAUCAGUACAGAAGAUUUGUUUCACUGGGCUAAGCUUUUAUUAAUCAUAAUUUAGUUUGAAACAGGUUUAUUGUAAAAGACUUUGUAACUCUUUAUUCUCUCAUAAAAUAAAGAUGAUAUGUAAAACUA